GCCUGGGUGGCUCAGUCAGUGGAGCGUCUGAUUUUAGCUCAGGUCACGAUCUCAUGGUUUGUGAGUUUGAGCCCCGCAUCGGGCU
rnacentral:tRNA from 1 species